rnacentral:rRNA from 1 species
AAAAAAGGUAAGCUACUAAGAGCGAAUGGUGGAUGCCUUGACUGGUAAAGGCGAUGAAGGACGUACUAGACUGCGAUAAGCUACGGGGAGCUGUCAAGAAGCUUUGAUCCGUAGAUUUCCGAAUGGGGCAACCCAAUGUAUAGAGAUAUACAUUACCUAUAUAGGAGCGAACGAGGGGAAUUGAAACAUCUUAGUACCCUCAGGAAAAGAAAUCAAUAGAGAUUGCGUCAGUAGCGGCGAGCGAAAGCGCAAGAGGGCAAACCCAGUGCUUGCACUGGGGGUUGUAGGACUGCAAUGUGCAAGAGGUGAGUUUAGCAGAACAUUCUGGAAAGUAUAGCCAUAGAGGGUGAUAGUCCCGUAUGCGAAAAACAAACCUUAGCUAGCAGUAUCCUGAGUAGGGCGGGACACGAGAAAUCCUGUCUGAAGCUGGGUCGACCACGAUCCAACCCUAAAUACUAAUACCAGAUCGAUAGUGCACAAGUACCGUGAGGGAAAGGUGAAAAGAACUGAGGUGAUCAGAGUGAAAUAGAACCUGAAACCAUUUGCUUACAAUCAUUCAGAGCCCUAUGUAGCAAUACAGGGUGAUGGACUGCCUUUUGCAUAAUGAGCCUGCGAGUUGUGGUGUCUGGCAAGGUUAAGCAAACGCGAAGCCGUAGCGAAAGCGAGUCUGAAUAGGGCGCUUAGUCAGAUGCUGCAGACCCGAAACGAAGUGAUCUAUCCAUGAGCAAGUUGAAGCUAGUGUAAGAACUAGUGGAGGACUGAACCCAUAGGCGUUGAAAAGCCCCGGGAUGACUUGUGGAUAGGGGUGAAAGGCCAAUCAAACUUCGUGAUAGCUGGUUCUCUCCGAAAUAUAUUUAGGUAUAGCGUUGUGUCGUAAUAUAAGGGGGUAGAGCACUGAAUGGGCUAGGGCAUACACCAAUGUACCAAACCCUAUCAAACUCCGAAUACCUUAUAUGUAAUCACAGCAGUCAGGCGGCGAGUGAUAAAAUCCGUCGUCAAGAGGGAAACAACCCAGACUACCAGCUAAGGUCCCUAAAUCUUAC